GACAUAGGUGGCGAACGUUAUCCGGAUUUAUUGGGCGUAAAGAGCGUGUAGGCGGCCAGACAGGUCCGCUGUGAAAACUCGAGGCUCAACCUCGAGACGCCGAUGGAAACCGUCUGGCUAGAGUCCGGAAGAGGAGAGUGGAAUUCCUGGUGUAGCGGUGAAAUGCGCAGAUAUCAGGAAGAACACCCGUGGCUAAGGCGGCUCUCUAGUACGGUACUGACGCUGAGACGCGAAAGCGUGGGGAGCGAACAGG
rnacentral:rRNA from 1 species